CGGAGGCAGCAGUGGGGAAUCUUGCGCAAUGGGCGAAAGCCUGACGCAGCGACGCCGCGUGGGGGAAGAAGGCUUUCGGGUUGUAAACCCCUUUCAGGAAGGACGAAGCCACUCGGGUGAAUAGCCCAGAGGGUGACGGUACUUCCAGAAGAAGCCCCGGCUAACUACGUGCCAGCAGCCGCGGUAAUACGUAGGGGGCAAGCGUUGUCCGGAUUUAUUGGGCGUAAAGAGCGUGUAGGCGGUUUGGUAGGUCCGCUGUGAAAACUCGAGGCUCAACCUCGAGACGCCGGUGGAAACCAUCAGACUAGAGUCCGGAAGAGGAGAGUGGAAUUCCUGGUGUAGCGGUGAAAUGCGCAGAUAUCAGGAAGAACACCCGUGGCUAAGGCGGCUCUCUAGUACGGUACUGACGCUGAGACGCGAAAGCGUGGGGAGCGAACAGGAUUAGAUACCCUGGUAGU
rnacentral:rRNA from 1 species